UCUAGAGAGAAGGAGAAGUAACCGCUACUUCCAAUCUGGCCACAAGGAGUGUGAUUCCAGUGAGAUUUCUUCACAAAUCCUUCGCAGAACCUAUAGGAAGCUUUCUGGACCCUUGAAUCAUUCAAAACCGUCAAGGAACGAAGAAAAUCCGUAGAGAGAAUUACGCUCUUAAUCCAUGAAGGAAGUCUUGAUCGAUUCAUAUCAGAAAUAGGAGUUCCAGCUUUCACCAAAGGAUGUACCAGUCGAUACGGGGAGGUGUUCAAGAGCUGCACUCUUACAGAGGGCUGUCAUUCCGGAGGGUCAGUCCCUUGUCAGUCUUUG